AAUACCUGACUUUGAGAGUGUU
rnacentral:misc_RNA from 1 species